rnacentral:lncRNA from 1 species
GCACUGGCCUCGACAGUGUAAACAGAGAGAGGGCCGGUGCUAUAGAUGUGGACAACCUGGACAUAUGAGGGCGGCUUGUCCCUGAGCAGCAUCACCAGCACCAUCGACAGCUUCAGCACAGCCAGGGCCUCAGCAGUCUGUUGGAGCAGCACCGAGUCACUGCCAGGAAGACUCUACAGCAGUCGACCGAGCGGUGGCAGCCAUCAUUUUGAUUCUGACAUUAGAGCUCGUACUUUAUUUGAUACCUGUGCAUCAUAUCCUUUUAUUAGCCGAGCUUUUGCAUCAU